CCUACGGGAGGCAGCAGUGAGGAAUAUUGGACAAUGGGCGCGAGCCUGAACCAGCGAAGCAGCGUGAAGGAUGACUGCCCUACGGGUUGUAAACUUCUUUUAUAAAGGAAUAAAGUGAGGCACGUGAGCCUUUUUGUACGUACUUUAUGAAUAAGGAUCGGCUAACUCCGGGCCAGCAGCCGCGGUAAUACGGAGGAUCCGAGCGUUAUCCGGAUUUAUUGGGUUUAAAGGGAGCGUAGAUGGGGAGUCAAGUCAGUUGUGAAAGUUUGGGGCUCAACCGUAAAAUUGCAAUUGAUACUGGCAGCCUAGAGUACAGGUGAGGUAGGCGGAAUUCGUGGUGUAGCGGUGAAAUGCUUAGAUAGCAGGAAGAACUCCGAUGGCGAAGGCAGCUUACUAAACUGCCACUGACAUUGAUGCUCGAAAGUGUGGGGAUCAAACAGGAUUAGAUACCCCAGUAGUC
rnacentral:rRNA from 1 species